rnacentral:rRNA from 4 species
AAUGGCGCAUACAAAGAGAAGCGACCUCGCGAGAGCAAGCGGACCUCAUAAAGUGCGUCGUAGUCCGGAUUGGAGUCUGCAACUCGACUCCAUGAAGUCGGAAUCGCUAGUAAUCGUGGAUCAGAAUGCCACGGUGAAUACGUUCCCGGGCCUUGUACACACCGCCCGUCACACCAUGGGAGUGGGUUGCAAAAGAAGUAGGUAGCUUAACCUUCGGGAGGGCGCUUACCACUUUGUGAUUCAUGACUGGGGUGAAGUCGUAACAAGGUAACCGUAGGGGAACCUGC